UCCAUAAUGAGCCUGGGUCCGUGAGGGAAUGGGGCUGUGAGCGCCGUGUGGCACCCAGGACGGUGGGGACCGUGGCUCCACAGGAGCAUUCCGCCGGGGAGGAGGGUGAGGGGGAAAGGCAAAGCAGGAGGAAGGAGCAGAGAGCGGUGGCAGGGAAACGGGGUCACUCCACACAGAGUUCCUUGUGGCAGCAUGGAAGCUGCUCCCAGUGGCCAGGGCCGCCGUGCUGGAUGCCCUAUGUGGAACAGGGCUCCUCAGAACAUGCAGGGCCACAGCACUGAGGUAAGCCCAGCCUGGUCUGCUGCCUCACGGGGCCUGGAGGGCUUGGACUCAAACAGAAGGCUUGGCAGAAGUAAUCCGGACAGCUAAUGCUGCAGCUUCUUUUUAGGCCAGUCUGACCUCAAGUCAGCUCUAAUCUGCUGAACUGCUGGGCACCAGUGAGAAAUCCUGACAUGGGCUGACCAGGUGAAAUUCGGGCUAGAUAGAAGGAAGCAGCUAGCUCUUUAUGGUGCUGUGCCGCCACUCCCAGCUCUGCUGCAGGCACACGGGGACCUUUUCCUACACCGCCCUCAUCACCGGGAGCCUUCUUCCAGACAUCAUCCCACAGCAACCCCUCUGCCCCCGAAUCAUCUCCCUUGGCUCCCUUGGCUCAGGGGCGGCAUCCUUCCCGUCCCGACCGGCGUAAACGCAGCCCUGCGGCGCCGACUCGCGUCCUGGAGAGCGAGCCGAGCACAAAGCCGAGCAGCACAGAGGGCCGGGACUGCCCUCUUCUGAUCGCCCAGGAGAUGCCGAGCCGGGACUGACAGCCUUUGUCUGACCAGAGCGGGCUUGAAAAGCACCGAAACCGCGAAUUUCACCGCCAGUUUGCGGGUCCCCACGUGUCGCUGACCUCAGUUAAGCUGGAAAGCCCUCAGACACCUCAGGAGAGAGUCUAACCCCAUCGGCUGGGUCUGGCGACACUGCACUCAGGUUUAAGAUCUUGAAAUCAGUGCUUUUGGUCUCUCUCACCUCACAGGCUGUGGAUCUUGCUGCAGGAUGAGGAUGGAGCUUGCAGAGACUGAUCAGAGCCAGAAUGAACAUUGGAAGUGAAAGAAUCAGUCCCAUCAGCCUAUGCAAACUCGAGGAGUUGUUUCUGCCUUUAUCUGAUGGACACCUCACUCGCAGCCUGGGCUCCCAGGCACUCAGUCUCUGCUGAGAACACUGCUUUUGUCUCCAUGAGGCAGCAACUGACAAAAAUAAUAGAGAAACCUGCCAGAAAAGAUCCAUUAACCUUCACAGGUCUCAAACUGCACUGGCUUGGGACACUGUGAAAUCCAUUUUCUGUACUUGUUAGCACUGUGUCAUAGAGUCAGCCCCUCUGUGUCUAGCGAAGGAUGGCAUCCUACCCACUGGAAAACGACUACAGUUUUUAGAAUUUUAGGAAAUUUCCUCCAGAGUGAAGAGAGUCUGAUAAGCAGAGUGCCAUCCUGGCAGUACGGAGAAUGGCUUUUGCUCUUUGAGUCGCCAUUCCCCUGCUGGGCAGUGCUGAAGGCAGGGCCAUCCAUGGGACUGUGCUAAAGCAGUGUCACAGCUGCUGGCCACAGUGUUCCCUCUGUGUCCUGCUUGAACUCCCCUGCAUUUCAUCUUACAUGUGCUCCCGCCGGACAUGUGUUGCUAGCUGAACCUUAAAACCCAGCUUCUCCUGUGGGAGAGGGCUGGUAUUAAAACACUGAAACGUUUAGGCUGGAAAAUACCUGAUCGGUAUUUAUAUAUAUUAUAUAUAAAUAUAUAUAUAUUAUAUCGGUAUUUAUAUAUAUAUUAUAUAUACCUGAGGGUAUAUCAUGGUGAGUUUUUACGUCUCACACAAAGAGUAGAGGACAGAAAUCCUUUACAUCAAUUGUGCAUUUCAUGACUUCACAGAACGCACAGAUAUCUGGGUUCGGGACAGUGUCAGAUGUCUCGGUUAUGAGGCAUCUGGGUAGGGAGAUAUGAGACAGUUACAAAAGCUGUGUUAUAAGGCGAGCUUUGGCACUUACUCAGAAGCCCUUCUGUAGUUUAAAUUACAGAGAACCUAACUCAAUCAAGAUUUAAUCAACGAUGUUGUGAAAGGAAGUCUCCAAUUCUCAACAACUUCACAAACAGGAUUUAUCUCUUUUCUGAGAGCAAGGGAACUUGAGCCUCUUAAAAAUCCAGCCCUACUUAGCUAACAUGUUUUGUUUCUUUUUUCCCUCCUGGUUGAAGCUUGUUUUCCUCACUGCAAGGAUCAGGUGGGCUGAGGCUGAAGCCAAAGCUUAGACUUAAACACAGGAUUUGAUCUGAGACCUUGGAAGAGGCUCCCAAACUUAGGUGCUAGAAGUGAGAAUGUGGAUUUAUAGUUUGAAGCAGAGACAUGCUGAGCUAAGUGGAGGAAAGUUUAGAGUUUCAGAGUUUAAGGUAUAGAAAAAAUAAAUGUAGUUACAGAAGUAAACGGGAAGCUCAGAAUGCAGUGCUGUAGGUUCAUGUGUCUUAACAUGACUGGCUAAGAAAGCUCACACUGUAGCAUGAGUCCAUAAGAUGAAAUAUUUAAGGAUCAGUUCAAAAGUAUAAAUAACCUUGUUGGCAGUGUUUUAUUGGUCAACAAUUCCUUCAAAGGUCUUGUAACUUAGGGUCUUGUGGCCUUCUGAAGCAUGCAGUGAAGAUGUGAGCCAAACUCACCCUUCCUGUCUGUGUAGAAGAUAGGAAAAAAAUCACAUAAUCAAAAACAACUCAGAGGUCCUGUCUCAAAUUCCUUCCAAAAUUCCCCACAAGUGAAUUCUCACAGGCCUGGAGCAGGACAGCAGUCAGGGUGUGUUUUCUGCGUGAUUGAGCUCAGGAGGGUCAGUCCAUUGCUGCUCCUCAGCCCCAGUGCUGCCCCACAGCUCCUGAGGAGUGCGGCCCUCAGAGAACGCUCAGGGGAGCAGCAGCUGCACCUGCUGCUUUCGGGAUGCUCACCUCACAGAGUGCUUACAGAGGCACAAACAACCAGGCAUUGUGCUCUUUCAGCUUCUGAUAAACUCGUGUGAAUGAGACCUGUCCGUCAUCCCUGCCCCAAAUAUCUGGAGAGAUGCAGAGCUCCGAGAGCUACGGCACCAGGUUACUGCUCAGAAAGAUUCCGACUUCUCAUUUUGAGCUCCUCCAAGAGAUCACAUGUUGCUCUCUGUGAGACCAAAAGCAGCUUGCAAUGCAAAUUUUUGAUAUUGUUACAAGUGAUGAACCUCUUGGGUUUUAAAAGCCACUUGGUUUAGCAGGCACAGCCAUCAGCUCAGUCCUACCCGGGGAGAAGAACGUGGUUCAUCCCUUCUGCCGCCCUUGUCAGAGGGGACACUGAACAUGCUGUCCAAGCUGAGGAUGGGAACUUUUGUUCUUCAGCCACACUGAUACAACCCAGGAGGCCUGGCCAGUGCGGGCUCGGGUCUCCAGAAACAGCAAAAUUUCCUUUUCUGUUCUAACAUCUGCUGCCAAAAUACCAACCCAAGCAAGCGAAGUGCACAGCCACUGGCAUGCAGGCAACAAAGCUGGCUUAAAUGACUUUGCCGACCUUCCUGGGGAUGACGUGCUGAAAUGCUUCGCUGGAGAAAACCUGCCAGACGCAAUUCAGCAGGACUAAACACCUCCUGGCUUUCUUCACAGGAGCAGGGAGCACUCACCACGCUGCAAACCCAGACCUACACCUGCUCCUCGCAGCUUGCACGUAUCCCAGCAGGUGCGAUCCCAUUAUUUUCCCCAGCAGGGGGAAAAGCUUGGUGUCAAAUCACGACCGCCAGUGCACCCUCCUGCAAAUCUGUGCGUCACAGGCACUGGAAAUGGAAGCCUGCUGGAGGAUGUCAGCACAGGAGAAGUUCUCCUGAUGGAGGAAUUCCCAUCUCCUCGGGUGAAGGAGGGUGAGAAGAUGUGGCUGACCUUUGUCAUGAGAAGGCAAGAUGGAGCUGUGAGGUUGGAAACAAACCUUCCUGGUCUGGAGUCCUGAUCCGGGGCUCGCCAGGCGUUCAGCACAUGGAACACUUGUGUUUAUGCGUGCACACACAGAGCAGGUGACGCUGAGGUUUUAGAACAACGUUAAAUAAGAGCUCACAAAGCAAGAUGGAAAAUCCAGAGUGGCGGCAACACGCU